rnacentral:rRNA from 1 species
UACGUAGGGUGCAAGCGUUAAUCGGAAUACUGGCGUAAGCGUGACGCAGGCGGUUAUGUAAGACAGUUGUGAAAUCCCCGGGCUCAACCCUGGGAACUGGACAUCUGUGACUGCAUAGCUAGAGUACGGUAGAGGGGGAUGGAAAUUCCGCGUGUAGCAGUGAAAUGCGCAGAGAUCAGGAGGAACACCGAUGGCGAAAAGCAGGUAACUGGACCAUUACUGACACUCAGCUGCGAAAGCUAGGGGGAGCAAACAGG